GUACAAAAUGACUCUCGACAACGGAUAUCUUGGCUCUUGCAUCGAUGAAGGACGUAGCGAAAUGCGAUACUUGGUGUGAAUUGCAGAAUCCCGUGAACCAUCGAGUCUUUGAACGCAAGUUGCGCCCGAAGCCGUUAGGCUAACGGCACUCCUGCCUGGGUGUCUCCCAU
rnacentral:rRNA from 1 species